GUCGUCAGCUCGUGUCGUGAGAUGUUGGGUUAAGUCCCGCAACGAGCGCAACCCUUUUCCUUACUUGCCAGCAUUUCGGAUGGGAACUUUAAGGAUACUGCCAGUGACAAACUGGAGGAAGGCGGGGACGACGUCAAGUCAUCAUGGCCCUUACGGCCAGGGCUACACACGUGCUACAAUGGUCGGUACAAAGGGUUGCUACACAGCGAUGUGAUGCUAAUCUCAAAAAGCCGAUCGUAGUCCGGAUUGGAGUCUGCAACUUGACUCCAUGAAGUCGGAAUCGCUAGUAAUCGCGGAUCAGAAUGCCGCGGUGAAUACGUUCCCGGGA
rnacentral:rRNA from 1 species